rnacentral:rRNA from 1 species
AUUGAACGCUGGCGGCAGGCCUAACACAUGCAAGUCGAACGAGUGGCGGACGGGUGAGUAAUGUCUGGGAAACUGCCUGAGGGAGGGGGAUAACUACUGGAAACGGUAGCUAAUACCGCAUACCCUCAGCUGUGGCCAGAUGGGAUUGGCUAGUUGGUGGGUUAACGGCUAACCAAGGCGACGAUCCCUAGCGGGUCUGAGAGGAUGACAGGCAACACGGGAACUGAGACACGGUCCAGACUCCUACGGGAGGAAGCAGUGGGGAAGAUUGCACAAGGGGCGCAAGCCUGAUGCAGCCAUGCCGCGGGUAUGAAGAAGGCCUUCGGGUUGUAAAGUACUUUCAGCGGGGAGGCGUUACCCGCAGAAGAAGCACCGGCUAACUCCGUGCCAGCAGCCGCGGUAAUAC